UGAGGAAUAUUGGUCAAUGGGCGAGAGCCUGAACCAGCCAAGUAGCGUGCAGGAUGACGGCCCUAUGGGUUGUAAACUGCUUUUAUGUGGGGAUAAAGUGCGUGACGUGUCAUGCAUUGCAGGUACCACAUGAAUAAGGACCGGCUAAUUCCGUGCCAGCAGCCGCGGUAAUACGGAAGGUCCGGGCGUUAUCCGGAUUUAUUGGGUUUAAAGGGAGCGUAGGCUGUCUAUUAAGCGUGUUGUGAAAUAUACCGGCUCAACCGGUGGCUUGCAGCGCGAACUGGUCGACUUGAGUAUGCAGGAAGUAGGCGGAAUUCAUGGUGUAGCGGUGAGAUGCUUAGAUAUCAUGACGAACUCCGAUUGCGCAGGCAGCUUACUGUAGCAUAACUGACGCUGAUGCUCGAAAGUGCGGGUAUCAAACAGG
rnacentral:rRNA from 1 species